CUAGCAGUUUCAGUGGGUAAAGGAAUAAAAAUUUGUUAUUCAGUUGUAGAAUUGGUACUUCUUAUGUCCAUGGCCAUUAGUCAUCCCUUCCCCCUCUGUCAUGGAUUAAUGACUUAAGAACUUUUGCUUAGUUUACAUGUUAAAGUGUUUCCAUGUAAUUAAUCAUAUUACAUACAUAAAGCACAAAUCUCUUCUUUUUCUCCAAC
rnacentral:lncRNA from 1 species